rnacentral:rRNA from 1 species
CAUGCAGUCGAGCGGAUGAGAGGAGCUUGCUCCUUAAUUCAGCGGCGGACGGGUGAGUAAUGCCUAGGAAUCUGCCUGGUAGUGGGGGACAACGUUUCGAAAGGAACGCUAAUACCGCAUACGUCCUACGGGAGAAAGCAGGGGACCUUCGGGCCUUGCGCUAUCAGAUGAGCCUAGGUCGGAUUAGCUAGUUGGUGAGGUAAUGGCUCACCAAGGCGACGAUCCGUAACUGGUCUGAGAGGAUGAUCAGUCACACUGGAACUGAGACACGGUCCAGACUCCUACGGGAGGCAGCAGUGGGGAAUAUUGGACAAUGGGCGAAAGCCUGAUCCAGCCAUGCCGCGUGUGUGAAGAAGGUCUUCGGAUUGUAAAGCACUUUAAGUUGGGAGGAAGGGCAGUAAAUUAAUACUUUGCUGUUUUGACGUUACCGACAGAAUAAGCACCGGCUAACUCUGUGCCAGCAGCCGCGGUAAUACAGAGGGUGCAAGCGUUAAUCGGAAUUACUGGGCGUAAAGCGCGCGUAGGUGGUUCGUUAAGUUGGAUGUGAAAUCCCCGGGCUCAACCUGGGAACUGCAUUCAAAACUGUCGAGCUAGAGUAUGGUAGAGGGUGGUGGAAUUUCCUGUGUAGCGGUGAAAUGCGUAGAUAUAGGAAGGAACACCAGUGGCGAAGGCGACCACCUGGACUGAUACUGACACUGAGGUGCGAA